UUUUCUGGCAGGAAUUGUGAUCCAUGGUGGAGCAGUUCUUGAAGAAUUGCUCAGGCUCCACACUGGAGCACAAGAAGAGUGUGAGAAGGAAGUAGCAGCAGAGACAUGCAAUGAACUAACCCCAAUACCCACUCCCGCCCUGUGCCACUGGAGAGGGGAGGAGGUGGAGAGCAAAGUUAAACCUGGGAAGGAACACCAGAUAUUUGAAUCAAUAUUCCCUGGGAAGGGAAGACUGUGAAAACCCUAGUGCUUUGGAAUUUCAGGAUCAACAGAAGCCUGCUGGUAUUUCAGCUUAAGCACUAACAGACUUCAUGACUUCAGUUGAAUUUAGCCAAUCAAAAGCUCUGAAUAUUAAUAUGAACAAGCUGCAUCUCUGUACUUCAGCUAUAUUAUUGCUUCACAUUUUGAGCUGAAAAUUCCUGGAUUCAUAGGACUUCAAAUCCACCACCGCUUACCAUCCCUAUCACUUUGAUAAUUUUUUCUUUUCAUCCCACA